rnacentral:lncRNA from 1 species
GUUAGAAUUAAUGGGCUAGGCCCAUAGCAAUUUCUGAAAUCUCAAAGCCCAUGUGUAAAAUGGCAAGUGGUGGUGCUAAGUUUAGUCCCACCUUGGAAGUUGAAGAAGAGUUGGACCUCUUUAUAUAGUGGGUUCUCUCCACCACUCUAAGUGGUGUGUGAGAAGAGAAAGGGAAAACCACACGCGCGCGCUCGGUCGCCUCGCCUGGCCUGGCCUGGCCUGGCCUGGGCGGGGCGGGGCGGGGCGGGGCGGGGCGGGGCGGGGCGUACAUGCGCGUGAAUGGUCCGCCGAAAUCCGGUCCGUCUCCUUGCAGGAGCGCAGCUUCCUUUUGCCGUUUUAUUUUUUAUGUCUUGGCAGACAAGUUUUGAUUUCUUGUCCGGUAAGUAUACGAAUUAGAAACCAAGUCGGUUUGGGAUUGUGGUCGCGACACAAUACUGCCUCUGGUCCUAAUAUAUAUACAGCUACCGGCUGCGGCCAGAGACACAUCGAAAAACACCUAGGGUUUUGCCUCAUCUCACAACUUGCGCCGCCAUCGUAGUCUACUCCAUCCCAAACGCCGGCGUGCAUCGGCGCGUGGGAGAGCAGGUCUCCGGAACCGUUCGUCUUUGCGAUCCUGCAUCGGGAGAGGACCAAUUAGGUUUUUGGGAAGCGCUGUGCGCGACUGCUCAAAUUCGUCAUCACGGGUCGUCUUCCGUCCAAGUCGGGCGGUGCUACUCAUCGUCGUAUUCAUCGCCGUCAGCAGCAGAUCGUCGCCAACAUCGUCAUCAACACUGUCGCACCCAUAAUAGCUAACGAUCAGUACGUCCAACACUCUGGAUUCGCUGAUGCACUGAGGCCGGAUAAGUUUACCAGUGUGCACUUUAAGAGGUGGCAGGUGAAGGCCACACUCUGGCUUACUGCUCUGAAAGUUUUCCACGCUAGUGUUGGUGCUCCAGAGGGAAUGACCGACGAAGAUCGGAGAAAAUUCUAGGAAGCCAAUACUAUGUUUGUGGGAUGCAUUCUGAGUGUUCUUGCUGACCGUCUGUGUGAUGUGUACAUGCACAUAAACGACAGAAAAAUUCUGUGGGAUGCAUUGAAUGCAAAAUUCGGUGCAACAGAUGCAGGAAGUGAACUGUACAUCAUGAAGAGUUUUCAUGACUACAAGAUGGUGAAUAACCGUUCUGUGGUUGAACAAGCUCAUGAGAUACAGUGCAUUGUGAAGGAACUUGAACUCCUUAAAUGUGUUCUACCCGACAAAUUCGUGGCUGGGUGCAUGAUUGCAAAGUUGCCUCCUUCAUGGAGGAAUUUCGCCACAACUCUGAAGCAUAAGAAACAGGAGAUAUUAGUUGAAAAUCUGAUUGCAUCUCUUGAUGUUGAAGAAAAAGCUCGGGCUAAAGAUACCACUGAAAAAGGAGGUGAGGUUCAGCCUACUGCUAACAUGGUGCAGAGGUACCCACAGAACAAGAACAAAGGGAAGAACAAACCUGUUGUCAACAAGCCUACCAAGACUACUACCUUCAAGAAGAAGAAGUUCAACAAGGCUGAGCUAGAGUGCUAUGCAUGUGGGAAGCUUGGACACUUUUCCAAGGAAUGCCCUGAACGUGCAGACCGCAGAGGGAAAACAAGCUCCAAGACUGUCAACAUGGUGACCGCUAGCAAUACUGAUGGGUAUGGUAAUUUACCUAUUGUGCUUUCAGUAUUUCAAUCAUCUUCGUGGUGGAUUGAUUCGGGUGCUAACGUUCAUGUGUGUGCUGACAUCUCCCUAUUUACUUCUUAUCAGGUCGCAAGGGAUUCUUCCGUCCUAAUGGGGAAUGGGUCACAUGCUUCUGUUCGUGGAAUUGGCACGGUGGAUCUGAAGUUUACUUCGGGAAAGAUCGUGCAACUAAGGAACGUGCAGCAUGUCCCUACUAUGAACAAGAAUCUAGUUAGCGGCUCCCUUCUAUGUCGAGAUGGAUUUAAGGUAGUUUUAGAGUCCAAUAAAGUAAUCGUGUCAAGAUUUGGACAAUUUAUAGGAAAAGGCUAUGAGUGCGGAGGCUUGUUCCGCUUUUCUCUUUCAGAUUUUUGCAAUAAGUCAAUAAACCAAAUUUGUGCUAGUGUUAAUGAUGAUGCAAGUAUUUGGCACUCUCGUUUAUGUCAUAUUAAUUUUGGUUUAAUGUCUCGGCUAUCCAGCAUGAGUUUAAUUCCGAACUUCACAGUUGCCAAAGGUUCUAAGUGCCAUAGUUGUGUGCAAUCUAAGUGGAUUGUGUCUUUCUAGGGUAUGCUCAACGGAGCAUUGCUUAUAGGUUUUUAGUGGUAAAAUCUGAAGUACCUGAUAUGCAUGUUGAUACUAUAAUGGAAUCUCGUGAUGCAACAUUUUUUGAGAACAUAUUUCCUAUGAAAGAUAUGCAUAGCAUUGCUAGAUUUUCUUCUGAGAUAAUUCCUGAAUCUAGUACAACUGAUGAAUAUUUCGAACAAUCACAUGAGGAAGUCCUUGAGAAGGAUAACAAUGAAGUUCCUAGAAGGAACAAGAGACAAAGGAUUGCAAAAUCCUUUGGUGAUGAUUUCAUUGUAUACCUUGUGGACGACACACCCAAGACGAUUGCAGAAGCAUAUGCAUCUCCGGAUGUAGAUGAUUGGAAAGAAGCUGUUCAUAAUGAGAUGGACUCAAUUCUUUCUAAUGGAACUUGGGAACUAACUGAUAGACCAUAUGGUUGUAAACCUGUGGGCUGUAAGUGGGUGUUCAAAAAGAAGCUAAAGCCUAAUGGUACUAUUGAUAAGUACAAGGCGCGGCUAGUGGCCAAGGGCUACACUCAGAAAGAAGGCGAAGAUUACUUUGACACCUAUUCACCCGUUGCUAGAAUGACCACCAUUCGAGUGUUACUUUCCUUGGCUGCCUCUUAUGGUCUUAUCAUUCAUCAAAUGGAUGUAAAGACAACUUCUCUCAAUGGAGAGUUGGAAGAGGAGAUCUAUAUGGAUCAGCCUGACGGGUUUGUGGUAAAGGGUGAAGAGAGAAAGGUGUGCAAGUUGUUAAAAUCUUUGUAUGGUCUGAAACAGGCACCUAAGCAAUGGCAUGAGAAGUUUGAAAGAACUUUGACUUCUGCAGGAUUUGUCAUUAACGAGGCUGAUAGGUGUGUUUACUAUCGCCAUGGUGGGGGCAAUAGUGUCAUAUUAUGUUUGUAUGUGGACGACAUACUGAUCUUUGGUACAAACAUUAAUGCAAUUAAUGAGAUCAAGUCUUUUCUAUCAAAAAGUUUUGACAUGAAAGAUCUGGGAGAAGCCGAUGUAAUUCUAAACAUCAAACUUAUUAAGGAUGAGAGUGGGAUUACAUUAACGCAAUCUCACUAUGUUGAGAAGGUCUUGAACCGAUUCGGUUUUAUGGAUAGCAGGCCUUCUCCAACACCUUAUGAUCCUAGCGUGACACUCAGAAAGAACAAGAAAGAAACGAGAGAUCAAUUAAGAUACUCUCAAAUUGUCGGUUCACUCAUGUACUUAGCUAGCGCUACAAGACCAGAUAUCUCUUUUGCUGUGAGCAAACUGAGUAGGUUCAUGUCCAACCCGGGUGAUGAUCAUUGGCAUGCACUAGAAAGGGUCUUGCGCUAUCUGAGAGGUACUAUGAGUUACGGAAUUACUUAUUCAGGGCAUCCUGCUGUGAUAGAAGGAUAUAGUGAUUCAAAUUGGAUCUCCGAUGUUGAUGUACUUUACGCAACAAGUGGGUAUGUAUUUACUCAUGGUGGUGGCGCAGUGUCAUGGAGGUCUUGCAAGCAAACCAUAUUGACGAGGUCAACUAUGGAAGCAGAAUUAACUGCUUUGGACACAACUACUGUUGAGGCAGAAUGGCUGCGUGAGCUCUUGAUGGACUUGCCGGUUGUUGAAAAACCUGUACCAGCUAUUCUUAUGAAUUGUGAUAACCAAACGGUUAUCGCUAAAGUGAACAAUUCUAAAGAUAAUGCAAAGUCAUCAAGACACGUGAAAAGACAUUUGAAGUCUGUCAGGAAGUUGAGAAACUCCGAAGUAAUAACUGUUACGUAUAUACAAACAGACAAAAACCUGGCAGAUCCCUUUACAAAGGGACUAUCACGAAAUGUGAUAGAUAUUGCAUCGAGGGAGAUGGGUAUGAGACCCAUAGAUGUUACACCAUAGUAGUAACCCAACCUUUGUGAUCGGAGAUCCCGUGAAUUAGGAUCUGGGAAGAACAAGCUAUUGGUUAACUGAGGAGAGUAAUAACUUAUGAUCGUCUCCAAGUGAAGAUGCAAAACUCUCAGAGCUGUAAGGCUCAGAUCUGUAAGGCAGGUCGGCAACAUGCCUUAAUGUGGUUCUAUUGGCUAUAAUUAGCAAAGAUGCUGUCCUACAGAGCAGUCUUGAAAGAACACACCUAUAUGAGUUCUGACUAUAAACGUCGCAGUCUAUGAGAUUUGGGUGAUCUCUAGUAUACUCACGAAGAGACCAGGGAGUAUGACGUAUAAGCUCCAAACCGCGGGGUAGCCUACUGGCGGUCAGGUACUGGUUAAGACUUUGAGUGAAACCUGUUCACACAAAACUAGCAAUUCAAGGCAUAGUCCAUUGUCAAGUUGUGAAUGGAUGUAGCUUAAAGUUCUAGGCAGAAGUUCAACUUAACAGUCUCUGCUGAAACACUGGUAUAUUAAACAAGUGGUGAGAGAAGGCAAAUCUCUAAAUGGGUAUUUGAGAUCUGCCGGGGAACUGUUAGAAUUAAUGGGCUAGGCCCAUAGCAAUUUCUGAAAUCUCAAAGCCCAUGUGUAAAAUGGCAAGUGGUGGUGCUAAGUUUAGUCCCACCUUGGAAGUUGAAGAAGAAUUGGACCUCUUUAUAUAGUGGGUUCUCUCCACCACUCUAAGUGGUGUGUGAGAAGAGAAAGGGAAAACCACACGCGCGCGCUCGCUCGCCU